UCCUAUUGCUUUCAUAUAUUGUUAAGUAUCUCAUAACAUAAAAUGAUUUUUAAGAUAAAUGUAGAAUUUAAACUAAAAUUAUAGAAUUCUACUGAACUUACGUCCAACACUCUAGCUCUGCACUUAUUUUGAACUUGAAUGCGUCCAGAUAUGUUUAAAUAUAUAUUAUAUAUAAUGUAGGAAUAGAAAAUCAUAGGUAUAAGUGAACUAGGGCAGUAAUAGUUACGAGUUCAGUAAAACUCGAUAAUUUUAGCUCAAACUCUAUAUCCAAAUUAAAAAUUUAUCUAACAUGUACAACUAAUCUAUUCAUAACCUAAUAAGAAAAAAAAUUAAUAUCCUGACACCUCCCUAAUACACCUCCGAUUGGAUACGCCCUGCCAAAAAGAUCAGCCCGAUAGUCCACAAGUAAUGUAGUAGAAUAUAUACGACUUGAUCUUAUCUAACAUCAACGUGUUGCAAGGCAAUCUAAGUUUCAAGAAAAUGAAAACGUGGCUUAGUAAUCUAGUAACCAACACAUAUAACAUCGACACAAGUCAUCACCAUUCUUGUCGAAAGUGUCACAAAAAAAAAAAAAUGCAAUAGAUAUACCUAUCCUUGGCAGCUAUAAAUAAAACAAAGCAGGUGAGAAAAAAAAUUAUUUGCUUACCAAUUUCAUGUGUUUCCAAAGAAAGAAAAAUGGAUUCAUCAAUAGGACCAUGGACAGGAAAUAUUACUGAUCCUUUUUCUUCUGAUUUAUGGGACCCUUUUGAUUAUGGACUGAGUGCUGGAAUGACUUGGCCGGGUCGUAGAGGUGGCCGUGAUGAUGACGUGUCAGCCUUGGUCAUGCUUAUGUUGAUUGGCGUGAAACUGACAAUGCUCAUGUUUUUCGUGUCGACCUUCCUAAGGGUGAGGAAGGAAGAUCUUAAUUUAGGUACAAGUUGAAGAUGGCAACAUACUAGAGAUAAGUGGAGAGAGAGUGAAAGAAGAUGAACAAGUGAACGACAAGUGGCACCGCGUAGAGCGACGUCUUGGGAGUUUUAGAAGGAGGUUCCAGCUGCCGGAAAAUGUAAAUGCAGAUGAGAUCAAGUGUGGGCUUGAACAUGGAGUUUUAACAAUGGAAGUGCCAAAGAAGGAAACACAAGAGGUUACAAGGAAUGUUAGAGCUGUAGAUAUUGCCUGAUACUUAUACUUUAUUUUUGGUUGUGGAAUGUGUAAAUUAAAUAGUAGUAGUUGUAAAGUUACUAUCGUUGUGCAUAGUGGUAUCAAUGCUAGUUUGUAUGGAUAGUUUUGAUGUGUGUAAUACUGAAAUAAAGGCUAGCUGUUGUAUAGUAGUUAGCUGGUGAUUUCUUUUCAUGUGCUUUGAACAAGAAAAAUACACGAGAUGAAUUUCGAUAAUGAAAGAAGUGAAGGCCGAUUUUUAUCUAA